GGCAACCUCACUCGCGAUCGAGCUAGUUUUUGAACGUGACAGCAUCUUUGACAGUGUGUUUCAGGUUUGUUUUGGAAUGUCUUCUGCUUAGUUCAAGUAGUUUGCGAUGGCUUUGAGCGGUGCUGAACCUCCUGCUGGUAGGAGCAGAGUCUCCGAGAGAGACAUGGACUGUGAUGCAGCUGCAGGAUUUUUUCAAGGCGCGGGAGGGAACGAUCUCGGGCCACAAACAGGAGUAACUCCAGAGAGCCAUCUUCUAUGAAGGUAACCGUGGUGCUGCCAAGUCACCAAGUCGCGAUCGCGAUCAGCAGCCCUGAAGUGGAAAAAUCGAUUUUCCAACGAUCUGGUUGGACAUCAGCCACUAAAGUACUUCUGAUUUGCCUGUAGUGACAACAGCAGCCAUCCUUGGACACCUUGCAAAGACAGGAAACGCCACUUGUGGAAGCGACUGCUAUGAGGUGACGAUAGCAGUGGUGAUCGCUAUUUUGUCAAGUCGAAGGGCUAGCCAACCCAGAGGAAGCAUUAAAAAAACGAUGAGCAGUGCGUGGUGUUUGUUGAGCGUGAAGAGCUAGAGGAGGACAGUGCUUACACAUGGAAGGAGUGGAUGGUGUUUGAAGAACAGUGUGCUGUGUGCCGGCUGGUGGUUUUUGUCAGCAUGUAUUCGUGCUGCUUCUUGUGCUGGAACACUUCUCGCCCAGGAAGGCAGAUUGCGUGCUCCCUGGCCCUCAGUCGGCAAUGGGGCAUUUAUUCCAGGAACAUUACCCCGGAGCCAGUGAUGAGUCGUACCUUUGAAAAGUCGAAUCUUGCUGUUAAUCGCAAGCGUAGCGCAGUGGAUUGCUCCCUCUUCGAAGCACGAGGGUCAAAGCUUGCCGCUGUCUGCAACGAAGUGUGUGUGCGGUUCUUUCGAACCUAUGAAUAUACCCCUCCCCUCUCUCUCUUAGGAAGACUGCAUGUUCAGAGUGAACUAUUUUCUAGUAUAUUUGAUGUGAGACGGGCUGUUUACGCCCAAGAUGAAGAUACAGUUUUUUUCUGUUUCUAUACGUUCCUAAUAAAAUACAUUGUGACAGAG